CGCACGCCAGUGUGGGUGGAGUCGUUGUUGAAAUACCACUCUGAUCGUAUUGGACCUCUAACUUCGAACCAUGAAGCUGGUUCAGGGACAGUGCCUGGUGGGUGGUUUAACUGGGGCGGUUGCCUCCUAAAAUGUAACGGAGGCGCCCAAAGGUUCCCUCAACCUGGACGGCAAUCAGGUGUUGAGUGUAAGUGCACAAGGGAGCUUGACUGUAAGACUGACACGUCAAAACAGGGACGAAAGUCGGGACUAGUGAUCCGGCACCCCGAGUGGAAGGGGUGUCGCUCAACGGAUAAAAGGUACCCCGGGGAUAACAGGCUGAUCUUCCCCAAGAGUCCAUAUCGACGGGAUGGUUUGGCACCUCGAUGUCGGCUCGUCGCAUCCUGGGGCUGGAGCAGGUCCCAAGGGUUGGGCUGUUCGCCCAUUAAAGCGGCACGCGAGCUGGGUUUAGAACGUCGUGAGACAGUUCGGUCUCUAUCCGCGCGCGCGUCAGAAUCUUGAGGAACCUGUCCCUAGUACGAGAGGACC
rnacentral:rRNA from 1 species